rnacentral:misc_RNA from 1 species
GAUGAAGAACGUAGCGAAAUGCGAUAAGUAAUGUGAAUUGCAGAAUUCAGUGAAUCAUCGAAUCUUUGAACGCACAUUGCGCCCCCUGGCAUUCCGGGUGGCAUGCCUGUCCGAGCGUCAUUUCUGCCCUCCAGCCCGGCUGGGUGUUGGGCGCUGUCCCCCCGGGGACACGCCCCAAAGGCAGUGGCGGCGCCGCGUCGGGUCCUCGAGCGUAUGGGGCUUUGUCACCCGCUCGGGACGGACUCGUCGGCGCUGGUCUUCCUCCAGGCGACCCUUCGGGGCUCGUCUUCCUUCGGUUGACCUCGGAUCAGGUAGGGUUACCCGCUGAACUUAAGCAUAUCAAUAAGCGGAGGA